ensembl:lincRNA
AUGGAGCAAGGACUCCCAGAGUUGGGAGACGUUGUACACUUACUGGGAACUAAAUCCCGCACGAGUUCCCACCCAAGUGCCGCCGCCCCAGCCCACGCACGCGCAUUUGCCCCGUCUCCAGCCCCGGGGUCCUCCUGCCCCUCCCGCCGUCUCCGGGGGCCUUUUCUCCGCUCGGCACCAGGGUGUCCGCCGCGCCGCCUGAUCCUGUUAGCGCGGUACUCUGAGUGCAGUCAGUCCUCGGCGCUGUUUUCUCUGAUUUGCUGUCGACGCCAGGAAGGAAAGACGCGUGCAGAGGACCGCAGAGGGGUGGCCGUGGCUGAGAGGAGACAGCGCCGCAGCACUGAGGGUUUGGGCUUGCAGGCGCUGCAGGAGACCCCCAGGCGGAGUCUUGUCUCGCAGCUAGCGCUGAGCGGGAGGCCUGAGCGGGAAGCAUUGGCGUCCGAGCGACUUCUAGAGCCUGGGGUUCGGCGCUAUGGAGGAGCUCGAUGGCGAGCCAACAGUCACUUUGAUUCCAGGCGUGAAUUCCAAGAAGAACCAAAUGUGUUUUGACUGGGGUCCAGGGGAGAUGCUGGUAUGUGAAACCUCCUUCAACAAAAAAGGUAGGGUUUUUUUUCUUCCAAAUUAUCCAUCUUGGCACAUUUGGUUGUUUUUCUGUUUAUUACCUCAGAGUUUACUAGUUGUGGACUGAAACAGUUGAAUUUAUUUUGUACUAUUUUAAUUUUCUCUAUUUUGUUUUCAAGAUACAACAGGGUUUUGUUGUGUCACCUGGGCUGGAGUACAGUGUGAUCAUGGCUCACUGCAGCCUCUACCUCCUGGGCUCAAGUGAUCCUCUGCCUCAAUCUUCCUAGUAGCUGAGACUACAGGUCACCAUGCCACCACGCCCAGCUAAUUUUUUUUUCUUUGUAGAGAUGGGAGUCUCAUUUUGUUGCCUAGGCUGGUCUCACACUCCUGGCCUCAAGCGAUCCUGUUGCAUUUCGGCAUUUUUAUUUUUGAAAUGUUAGCUAUUUUAGAUUUUCAUUGAUUUUUGAGAUCUUGAAGAUGUUGAAUCCCGGAAAAAAAUUAAUAGUUUUCAUGAAAAAUUUUCUUCAUAUUUAAAAUGUCAAGCUUUUUAUCCCUUUUUCUUUGUCCAAAGUGACCAAAUUCCUAUCAGUAGCUCCCUUAUUGUGAACCUUGCAGAUGCUUGGCCGUCACUUUUGUGUCCACAGCAUGGAUUCAGCUGAAUAAUAGUUCUGUAGGCUGAGCUGAGCCGUAGCAUCCAAGGCACAGAUGGAGCUGGAGAGUGACAUAGCUUGUCCUUGGCUUGAUUUUCCUAAGUUCCAUCAGCUAUUGGAUAGGAUGUGAAUCUUUUUCUUUUCCUGAUACAGUGAUACAGUCUCCUUCCAGUAGAAGGAUAAAACUGGAAUCUUGACAUUUGAUUUGCUUUCUUUUUUUUUUUUUUUUUUGAGACGGAGUCUCGCUCUGUCCAGGCUGGAAUGCAGUGGUGCGAUCUCGGCUCACUGCCACCUCCACCUCCCGGUUUGAAGCAAUUCUCCUGCCUCAGUCUCCUGAGUAGCUGGGAAUGAAGGCAUGCGCCACCACGCCCAGCUAAUUUUUGUAUUUUUAGUAGAGACAGGGUUUUGCUAUGUUGGCCAGCCUGGUCUCGAAUUCCUGACCUCGUGAUCUGCCUGCCUUGGCCUUCCAAAGUGCUGGGAUUAUAGGCAAGAGCCACCACGCCCGGCCACAGAAAAUUUUUUUAGAGUAGAUUCACUUUUGGAGAUGAUCAUAAUAGAUGUUAAAUUUUUUUUUUCUGUUUGGUUUCAGAAAAAUCAGAGAUGGUGCCAAGUUGCCCCUUUAUCUAUAUCAUCCGUAAGGAUGUAGAUGUUUACUCUCAAAUCUUGAGAAAACUCUUCAAUGAAUCCCAUGGAAUCUUUCUGGGCCUCCAGAGAAUUGACGAAGAGUUGACUGGAAAAUCCAGAAAAUCUCAGUAAGUUGGUUGCUGUUUGGUGUUGAACCCCACACUACACUGUGGAAAGCCAAAUGAAGUACAUUGUUGUCUUUUUGUGUGUUUUAUGGGUUGCGUAAAGAAAUAAGAGACUCCUGGUUCUAGUUGAGGCAUGAGUACUGGACAGUGUACAUUAGCAGUGAUGGGAAGACUUAGCGGGAAUAUGCAAAUGCUAUUGAUGGGCUGGCUUGACAAGCUUUAUUUAUAUUCAUAUUUUACUUACCCUCUAAAGAAAAUUUAGGCCACACAAGCAUGUGAGAGUCAUUGAAUGAGGUCACAUUGUUGGGAGAUUUGAAAAUUAAUAUAAACCUAACAGUUUUGUCUCUAAAAAAUUACGGUUCAGACGUUAUUUGACAACAGACCAGAAAACUCUCGUACUAUUUAUAGAUUAGGAUUUUCUUGAAUUGUAGUUCAUAACUUCAUCAUUAUCAGAGUGGUACUUGUUAAUUGUAGACUUUUGGGACCCACCUCAGAUCCUCAAAAUCAAAAUCUCUGUGGUUGGAUCUUAAAAUCUCCAGCACACUGAAGUUUAAGAACUGUGUUAGGUUUUUGUCAGCGUCCCUUCACAUGGAUGGCUAGGGAAUGGGCAGUGUUGGUAUGUUACUUCUUUGAUAAGCUUUUCACAAAUGAAUCAUUCUGGACAAGACCCAGGUCAGCUUCUGUGUGAGUGUGUGCAAGAGUGAUUAUUGGUUGUUUUUCUGUUUUUUUUCGAGGCAGAGUUUCGCUCUGUCACCCAGGCUGGAGUGCAGUGGCGCGAUCUCCGCUCACUGCAAGCUCCGCCUCCUGGAUUCACGCCAUUCUCCUGCCUCAGCCUCCCGAGUAGCUGGGACUACAGGCGCCCGCCACCACAUCCGGCUAAUUUUUUGUAUUUUUAGUAGAGAUGGGGUUUCACCGUGUUAGCCAGGAUGAUCUCGAUCUCGUGACCUCGUGAUCCACCUGCUUCGGCCUCCCAAAGUGCUGGGAUUACAGACGUGAGCCACCGUGCCUGGCC